GGUUAAGCUAGAAAGGGCGCACGGUGGAUGCCUUGGCACUAGGAGCCGAAGAAGGACGGGACGAACACCGAUAUGCCUCGGGGAGCUGUAAGUAAGCACUGAUCCGGGGAUUUCCGAAUGGGGGAACCCACCAUCCGUAAUGGGAUGGUAUCCAUAUCUGAAUACAUAGGGUAUGAGAAGGCAGACCCGGGGAACUGAAACAUCUAAGUACCCGGAGGAAGAGAAAGCAAAUGCGAUUUCCUGAGUAGCGGCGAGCGAAACGGAAACAGCCCAAACCAGAGGGCUUGCCCUCUGGGGUUGUAGGACACUCUACAUGGAGUUACAAAGGAACGAAGUAGGUGAAGCGGUCUGGAAAGGCCCGCCAAAGAAGGUAACAGCCCUGUAGCUGAAACUUCGUUCCCUCCUGAGUGGAUCCUGAGUACGGCGGGACACGUGAAACCCCGUCGGAAUCCGGGAGGACCAUCUCCCAAGGCUAAAUACUCCCUAGUGACCGAUAGUGAACCAGUACCGUGAGGGAAAGGGGAAAAGCACCCCGGAAGGGGAGUGAAAGAGAUCCUGAAACCGUGUGCCUACAAGUAGUCGGAGCCCAUUAACGGGUGACGGCGUGCCUUUUGUAGAAUGAACCGGCGAGUUACGAUCCCGUGCAAGGUUAAGUUGAAUAGACGGAGCCGCAGCGAAAGCGAGUCUGAAUAGGGCGACAUAGUACGUGGUCGUAGACCCGAAACCGUGUGAUCUACCCAUGUCCAGGGUGAAGUUCAGGUAACACUGAAUGGAGGCCCGAACCCACGCACGUUGAAAAGUGCGGGGAUGAGGUGUGGGUAGGGGUGAAAUGCCAAUCGAACACGGAGAUAGCUGGUUCUCCCCGAAAUAGCUUUAGGGCUAGCCUCGCGGCAAGAUUCCUGGAGGUAGAGCACUGAUUGGACUAGGGGCCCCCACAGGGUUACCGAAUUCAGUCAAACUCCGAAUGCCAGAGAAUUAUCCGCGGGAGUCAGACUGCGAGUGAUAAGAUCCGUAGUCAAAAGGGAAACAGCCCAGACCAUCAGCUAAGGUCCCAAAGUAUACGUUAAGUGGCAAAGGAUGUGGAGUUGCCCAGACAACCAGGAUGUUGGCUUAGAAGCAGCCACCAUUUAAAGAGUGCGUAAUAGCUCACUGGUCGAGUGACUCUGCGCCGAAAAUGUAACGGGGCUAAACGUAUCACCGAAGCUAUGGCUUGUACCUUUAGGGACAGGGGUAGGGGAGCGUUCGAAGUGCAGUGAAGUCAGACCGGAAGGACUGGUGGAGCGCUUUGAAGUGAGAAUGCCGGUAUGAGUAGCGAAAGACAAGUGAGAAUCUUGUCCAUCGAAAGCCUAAGGUUUCCUGAGGAAGGCUCGUCCGCUCAGGGUUAGUCGGGGCCUAAGCCGAGGCUGAAAAGCGUAGGCGAUGGAUAACAGGUUGAUAUUCCUGUACCACCUCCUUUCCGUUUGAACAAUGGGGGGACGCAGUAAGGUAGGGUGAGCGCACUGAUGGAAUAGUGCGUCUAAGCAGUUAGGCUGUUGGAUAGGCAAAUCCGUCCAACGUGAAGGCUGAGCUGUGAUGGCGAGGGAAAUUUUAGUACCGAAGUCCCUGAUCCUACACUGCCAAGAAAAGCCUCUAGUGAGGAAAGAGGUGCCCGUACCGCAAACCGACACAGGUAGGCGAGGAGAGAAUCCUAAGAUGAUCGGGAGAACUCUCGUUAAGGAACUCGGCAAAAUGACCCCGUAACUUCGGGAGAAGGGGUGCUCUGAUAGGGUUUAUCGCCCGAGAGAGCCGCAGUGAAUAGAUCCAAGCGACUGUUUAGCAAAAACACAGGUCUCUGCGAAACCGCAAGGUGAAGUAUAGGGGCUGACACCUGCCCGGUGCUGGAAGGUUAAGAGGAGGGGUUAUCCCUUACGGGAGAAGCUCUGAAUUGAAGCCCCAGUAAACGGCGGCCGUAACUAUAACGGUCCUAAGGUAGCGAAAUUCCUUGUCGGGUAAGUUCCGACCCGCACGAAAGGUGUAACGACUUGGAUACUGUCUCAACGAGAGACCCGGUGAAAUUAUAGUACCUGUGAAGAUGCAGGUUACCCGCGACAGGACGGAAAGACCCCAUGGAGCUUUACUGCAGCUUGAUAUUGGAUUUUGGUACAGCUUGUACAGGAUAGGUAGGAGCCUGAGAAGCCGGAGCGCCAGCUUCGGUGGAGGCGUCGGUGGGAUACUACCCUGGCUGUAUUGAAAUUCUAACCUUGAACCGUGAUCCGGUUCGGAGACAGUGUCAGGCGGGCAGUUUGACUGGGGCGGUCGCCUCCUAAACAGUAACGGAGGCGCCCAAAGGUUCCCUCAGAAUGGUUGGAAAUCAUUCGCAGAGUGUAAAGGCACAAGGGAGCUUGACUGCGAGACCUACAAGUCGAGCAGGGACGAAAGUCGGGCUUAGUGAUCCGGUGGUUCCGCAUGGAAGGGCCAUCGCUCAACGGAUAAAAGCUACCCUGGGGAUAACAGGCUUAUCUCCCCCAAGAGUCCACAUCGACGGGGAGGUUUGGCACCUCGAUGUCGGCUCAUCGCAUCCUGGGGCUGAAGUAGGUCCCAAGGGUUGGGCUGUUCGCCCAUUAAAGCGGUACGCGAGCUGGGUUCAGAACGUCGUGAGACAGUUCGGUCCCUAUCCGUCGCGGGCGCAGGAAAUUUGAGAGGAGCUGUCCUUAGUACGAGAGGACCGGGAUGGACACACCGCUGGUGUACCAGUUGUUCCGCCAGGGGCAUAGCUGGGUAGCUACGUGUGGACGGGAUAAGUGCUGAAAGCAUCUAAGCAUGAAGCCCCCCUCAAGAUGAGAUUUCCCAUCACGUUAAGUGAGUAAGACCCCUUAGAGAUGAU
rfam:Fictibacillus arsenicus strain G25-54, complete genome.